rnacentral:rRNA from 1 species
GACGUAGGGGGCGAGCGUUGUCCGGAUUUAUUGGGCGUAAAGCGCGCGUAGGCGGCCGCUCAAGUCGGAUGUGAAAAUCCGGGGCUCAACCCCGGACCUGCAUUCGAUACUGGGUGGCUAGAGGCAGGUAGGGGAGAGCGGAAUUCCUGGUGUAGCGGUGAAAUGCGCAGAUAUCAGGAGGAACACCGAUGGCGAAGGCAGGUCUCUGGGCUGACACUGACGCUCAUGCACGAAAGCGUGGGGAGCAAACAGG